rnacentral:rRNA from 1 species
AACGAACGCUGGCGGCAUGCCUAACACAUGCAAGUCGAACGAGACCUUCGGGUCUAGUGGCGCACGGGUGCGUCACGCGUGGGAACCUGCCCUUAGGCUCGGAAUAACUCUCCUAAAGGGGUGCUAAUAUCGGAUAAUGUCUGCUGACCAAAGAUUUAUCGCCUUUGUAUGGGCCCGCGUUGGAUUAGCUUGUUGGUAGGGUAAAAGCCUACCAAGGCGACGAUCCUUAGCUGGUUUGAGAGGAUGGGCAGCCACACUGAGACUGAGACACGGCCCAGAAUCCUACGGGAGGCAGCAGUGGGGAAUAUUGGACAACGGGCGAAAGCCUGAACCAGCAAUGCCGCGUGAGUGAUGAAGGCCGUAGAGUUGUAAAGCUCUUUUACCCGGGAUGAUAAUGACGGUACCGGGAGAAUAAGCACCGGCUAACUCCGUG